CUGGGUGGAUUAGUGGGCGAACGGGAUGAGUAACACGUGAGUAACCAUGCCCCCGACAUCUGGGAUAAGCCCGGGAAACUGGGUCUAAUACCGGAUAUUACCUCUCACCGCAUGGUGCUUGGUGGAAAGAUUUAUCGGUGGGGGAUGGACUCGCGGCCUAUCAGCUUGUUGGUGAGGUAAUGGCUCACCAAGGCGACGACGGGUAGCCGGCCUGAGAGGGUGACCGGCCACACUGGGACUGAGACACGGCCCAGACUCCUACGGGAGGCAGCAGUGGGGAAUAUUGCACAAUGGGCGCAAGCCUGAUGCAGCGACGCCGCGUGAGGGAUGACGGCCUUCGGGUUGUAAACCUCUUUCAGUAGGGAAGAAGCGAAAGUGACGGUACCUGCAGAAGAAGCGCCGGCUAACUACGUGCCAGCAGCCGCGGUAAUACGUAGGGCGCAAGCGUUAUCCGGAUUUAUUGGGCGUAAAGAGCUCGUAGGCGGUUUGUCGCGUCUGCCGUGAAAGUCCGAGGCUCAACCUCGGAUCUGCGGUGGGUACGGGCAGACUAGAGUGAUGUAGGGGAGACUGGAAUUCCUGGUGUAGCGGUGAAAUGCGCAGAUAUCAGGAGGAACACCGAUGGCGAAGGCAGGUCUCUGGGCAUUUACUGACGCUGAGGAGCG
rnacentral:rRNA from 1 species